CCUACGGGAGGCAGCAGUGGGGAAUAUUGCGCAAUGGGCGAAAGCCUGACGCAGCGACGCCGCGUGAGGGAUGAAGGUCUUCGGAUCGUAAACCUCUGUCAGCAGGGAAGAACGGUCACUGUGCUAAUCAGCAGUGAAUUGACGGUACCUGCAAAGGAAGCACCGGCUAACUCCGGGCCAGCAGCCGCGGUAAUACGGAGGGUGCGAGCGUUAAUCGGAAUUACUGGGCGUAAAGCGGUCGUAGGCGGUAUGUCAAGUCAAGGGGGAAAUCCCCGGGCUCAACGUGGGAACUGCCUUUGAAACUGGCAAACUGGAGUGUGUGAGAGGAUUGUGGAAUGCCAGGUGUAGGAGUGAAAUCCGUAGAUAUCUGGAGGAACAUCAGUGGCGAAGGCGACUAUCUGGCACAUUACUGACGCUGAGGAGCGAAAGCGUGGGUAGCAAACAGGAUUAGAUACCCGGGUAGUC
rnacentral:rRNA from 1 species